rnacentral:rRNA from 1 species
GGGGAAUAUUGGACAAUGGGCGCAAGCCUGAUCCAGCCAUGCCGCGUGAGUGAUGAAGGCCCUAGGGUUGUAAAGCUCUUUCACCGGUGAAGAUAAUGACGGUAACCGGAGAAGAAGCCCCGGCUAACUUCGUGCCAGCAGCCGCGGUAAUACGAAGGGGGCUAGCGUUGUUCGGAUUUACUGGGCGUAAAGCGCACGUAGGCGGACUUUUAAGUCAGGGGUGAAAUCCCGGGGCUCAACCCCGGAACUGCCUUUGAUACUGGAAGUCUUGAGUAUGGUAGAGGUGAGUGGAAUUCCGAGUGUAGAGGUGAAAUUCGUAGAUAUUCGGAGGAACACCAGUGGCGAAGGCGGCUCACUGGACCAUUACUGACGCUGAGGUGCGAAAGCGUGGGGAGCAAAC